rnacentral:rRNA from 1 species
AGAACGAACGCUGGCGGCAGGCCUCAAACAUGCAAGUCUAGGGGGUGCAGCAAUGCAUCACCGGCGGACGGGUGCGUAACGCGUGGGAAUAUACCUAUUGGUUCGGAACAACUGCGGGAAACUGCAGCUAAUACCGAAUGUGCCCGAAAGGGGAAAGAUUCAUCGCCAAUGGAUUAGCCCGCGUAGGAUUAGCUAGUUGGUGGGGUAAAGGCUCACCAAGGCUCCGAUCCUUAGCUGUUCUGAGAGGAAGAUCAGCCACACUGGGACUGAGACACGGCCCAGACUCCUACGGGAGGCAGCAGUUGGGAAUCUUGCACAAUGGACGAAAGUCUGAUGCAGCAACGCCGCGUGGGGGAUGAAGCUUCUCGGAGUGUAAACCCCUUUCGACCCGGAAGAAUGCCCGCAACGGGUAUGACGGUACGGGUAUAAGAAGCCCGGCUAACUACGCGCCAGCAGCCGC